rnacentral:rRNA from 1 species
GAGUUUGAUCUUGGCUCAGGAUGAACGCUGGCGGCGUGCUUAACACAUGCAAGUCGAACGGAGAUAUCAUUUUCGAAGCGAUUAGUUUACUAAGAGUGGAGAUGUUGGUAUCUUAGUGGCGGACGGUGAGUAACGCGUGGGUAACCUGCCUUACACUGGGGGAUAACACUUAGAAAUAGGUGCUAAUACCGCAUAACAGGGAAAGAUGCAUGUCUUUUCCUUAAAAACUCCGGUGGUGUAAGAUGGACCCGCGUCUGAUUAGCUUGUUGGCGGGGUAACGGCCCACCAAGGCGACGAUCAGUAGCCGGCCUGAGAGGGUGAACGGCCACAUUGGGACUGAGACACGGCCCAAACUCCUACGGGAGGCAGCAGUGGGGAAUAUUGGACAAUGGGGGGAACCCUGAUCCAGCGACGCCGCGUGAGUGAAGAAGUAUUUCGGUAUGUAAAGCUCUAUCAGCAGGGAAGAAAGAAAUGACGGUACCUGACCAAGAAGCCCCGGCUAACUACGUGCCAG